rnacentral:rRNA from 1 species
CCUACGGGGGGCUGCAGUGGGGAAUAUUGCACAAUGGGCGCAAGCCUGAUGCAGCCAUGCCGCGUGUGUGAAGAAGGCCUUCGGGUUGUAAAGCACUUUCAGCGGGGAGGAAGGCGUUAAGGUUAAUAACCUUGGCGAUUGACGUUACCCGCAGAAGAAGCACCGGCUAACUCCGUGCCAGCAGCCGCGGUAAUACGGAGGGUGCAAGCGUUAAUCGGAAUUACUGGGCGUAAAGCGCACGCAGGCGGUCUGUCAAGUCGGAUGUGAAAUCCCCGGGCUCAACCUGGGAACUGCAUUCGAAACUGGCAGGCUAGAGCCUUGUAGAGGGGGGUAGAAUUCCAGGUGUAGCGGUGAAAUGCGUAGAGAUCUGGAGGAAUACCGGUGGCGAAGGCGGCCCCCUGGACAAAGACUGACGCUCAGGUGCGAAAGCGUGGGGAGCAAACAGGAUUAGAUACCCGGGUAGUC